rnacentral:rRNA from 1 species
GCACAACGCGAAGAACCUUACCGGGGCUUGACAUAAUACUGAAUAUACUAGAGAUAGUAUAGUCCUUCGGGACAGUAUUACAGGUGGUGCAUGGUUGUCGUCAGCUCGUGUCGUGAGAUGUUGGGUUAAGUCCCGCAACGAGCGCAACCCUUGUUGUUAGUUGCCAGCAUUAAGUUGGGCACUCUAACGAGACUGCCGGUGAUAAAUCGGAGGAAGGUGGGGACGACGUCAAAUCAUCAUGCCCCUUAUGUCCCGGGCUACACACGUACUACAAUGGCUAUUACAGAAGGAAGCGAAGCCGUAAGGUGGAGCAAAUCCCCAAAGAUAGUCCCAGUUCGGAUUGUGGGCUGCAACUCGCCCACAUGAAGUCGGAAUUGCUAGUAAUGGUGCAUCAGCUACGGCACCGUGAAUACGUUCCCGGGUC